GUGUCAGCAGCCGCGGUAAUACGGAGGGUGCAAGCGUUGUCCGGAUUUACUGGGCGUAAAGCGCAUGCAGGCGGCCUUGUAAGUCGGAUGUGAAAUCUCCCGGCUCAACUGGGAGGCGUCAUUCGAUACUGCAAGGCUUGAGGGCAGGAGAGGGGAGUGGAAUUCCCGGUGUAGUGGUGAAAUGCGUAGAUAUCGGGAGGAACACCAGUGGCGAAGGCGGCUCCCUGGCCUGUACCUGACGCUAAGAUGCGAAAGCGUGGGGAGCGAACGGGAUUAGAAACCCCGGUAGUCCACGCCGUAAACGAUGCGGACUAGGUGUGGGAGGUAUUGACCCCUUCCGUGCCGUAGCUAACGCGUUAAGUCCGCCGCCUGGGGACUACGGCCGCAAGGCUAAAACUCAAAUGAAUUGGCGGGG
rnacentral:rRNA from 1 species